rnacentral:lncRNA from 1 species
GUGGUUAUUCUGGAAGUGGGUCAGGACAAGGGGGUGGCCCACAGAUUGCUCUUAUUGUUGGUGUUUCGCUGAUAUUCGUCGUUCCCAUAGUAGUCAUUACUUGUUACGCAAUUUGUUUUAGCUAGUGUGCAGUGAUAACUAAGCUUGUGCAGUUGUGCUGUAAUAAAGUUGAAGUGUGCAGUGAUAAUUAAGCUUGUGCUGUAAUAAAGUUGAAGUGUGCAGUGAUAAACAGUAAAAAUGUGCCAUGAUAACAUACAAUGGUGUAGCUGUAGCCUGCGAGCAGGCUCCAGUGUAGCUGUCGCUGUUGUUGAUUCUGUUGUACUCAGGCCUAGGGUUGCUGUUAUUGCACGUACGUAACUUUGUUUUAAUAUAUUAAAUAAUUAUUUAAGAUUUAAUGUAUAAUAUAAUGUAGUAAUUUAUAUGUUGUAAUUUUGUCACUGAAAAGCCCCUUCAGGGGAGUGUCAAUAAAGUCAAUAUUCAACAUUCAAUAUACUCAAUUGGAUCGUGACUAAAACACCACACGAGUACAUACGAGUAACAUACGAGUAACACACAAGUACAUACGAGUACAUACGAGUAACAUACGAGUACAUACGAGUAAAAUACGAGUACAUACGAGUAAAAUACG